rnacentral:rRNA from 1 species
CACGUAGGGUGCGAGCGUUGUCCGGAAUUAUUGGGCGUAAAGAGCUCGUAGGCGGUGUGUCGCGUCGGCCGUGAAAACCUGCAGCUUAACUGUGGGCUUGCGGUCGAUACGGGCAUCACUGGAGUUCGGUAGGGGAGACUGGAAUUCCUGGUGUAGCGGUGAAAUGCGCAGAUAUCAGGAGGAACACCGGUGGCGAAGGCGGUUCUCUGGGCAUGUCCUGACGCUGAGGAGCGAAAGUGUGGGGAGCGAACAGG